UUGAACCCCCCCCCACUCUUGCCCUUACACUCUGGGAUAAGUCUGGGAAACUGGGUCUAAUACCGGAUAUGACUCCUCAUCGCAUGGUGGGGGGUGGAAAGCUUUUGUGGUUUUGGAUGGACUCGCGGCCUAUCAGCUUGUUGGUGAGGUAAUGGCUCACCAAGGCGACGACGGGUAGCCGGCCUGAGAGGGUGACCGGCCACACUGGGACUGAGACACGGCCCAGACUCCUACGGGAGGCAGCAGUGGGGAAUAUUGCACAAUGGGCGGAAGCCUGAUGCAGCGACGCCGCGUGAGGGAUGACGGCCUUCGGGUUGUAAACCUCUUUCAGUAGGGAAGAAGCGAAAGUGACGGUACCUGCAGAAGAAGCGCCGGCUAACUACGUGCCAGCAGCCGCGGUAAUACGUAGGGCGCAAGCGUUAUCCGGAAUUAUUGCGCGUAAAAAGCUCGUAGGCGGUUUGUCGCGUCUGCCGUGAAAACUCCGGGGGCUCAACUCCGGAUCUGCGGUGGGUACGGGCACACUAAAGUGAUUUAAGGGACACUGGAAUUCCUGGUGUACCGGGGAAAUGCCCAGAUAUCCAGAGGACCCCCAUGGCCAAAGGCAGUCCUCUGGGCUUAACUGACCCUUGGGACCCAAAACCUUGGGGAGCCAACCGGAUUAAAUCCCCUGGGUAACCCCUGCCGAAAAACCUUGGGGCCCUAGGGGG
rnacentral:rRNA from 1 species